rnacentral:rRNA from 1 species
UACGUAGGGGGCGGGCGUUGUCCGGAUUUAUUGGGCGUAAAGAGCGUGUAGGCGGCCAGGUAGGUCUGCUGUGAAAACUCGAGGCUCAACCUCGAGACGUCGGCGGAAACCAUCUGGCUAGAGUCCGGAAGAGGAGAGUGGAAUUCCUGGUGUAGCGGUGAAAUGCGUAGAUAUCUGGAGGAACACCGGUGGCGAAGGCGGCAUCCUGGACCGGUAUUGACGCUGAGGAGCGAAAGCCAGGGGAGCAAACGGG